UUGAUUGGCCAGUAGCCAGGCAGGAAGUAUAGGUGGGAUAAGCAGACAAGGAGAAUUCUAGGAAGAGUAAGGCUGAGUCAGGAGUCUCCAGCCAGACACAAAAGAAGCAAGAUGCAAAGGCAGAACUGAGAAAAGGUACCAAGCCACGUGGCUAAACAUAGGGUUUUGAUACCACAACAGUAACAGUUUCAUAAAACAAUUGGGGGCCUGACUUCCUUUUCUACUUCACAGAACAGUAGUGUUGGUGUUAUUUCCUCUUUGGAAUUCCCAACUUAAAAUUGAUACAGUACCUCAACAUGGGACCUGAUUCCCUGAAACUGCUAGAAGAAAAAAACAGGGAGCAUGAUUCAAUUUAUAAACACAGGUGAGGAAUUUCUGAGUAAGACUCCAAUAGCACAGACAAUAAGACCAACAAAUGGUAUCUCAGAAACUGAAGAGCUCUAUACAACAAAGAAAAUUAUGAACCAAGUGAGCCCACAGAACAGGAGAAAAUCUUUGCCAACUAUUCAUCCAACAGAAGAUUAAAGUCUAGCAUAUACAAGGAGAUUAAAAAAAACAACUAAACAUUAUGAAAAUAAACAGCUUAAUUAAAAAUGGGCUGUGGAGCUAAACAGAAAAUUCUCAGAAGAAUGCAAAUGGCUAGGAAACACUUUUAGAUGUAUUCAAUAUCCUUAGCCACCAGAAAAAUGAAAAUAAACACUAAUUCAAGAGUCCACCUUACCACAGUCAGAAAAGCCAGCAUCGGAAAGACAGAUAACAAAUGCUGCCUUGGAUGUGGAAAAGGAGACUCUUACAUAGUGCAGAUGGGCUUGUAAACUACUGCAGUGACUGAAAAUCAUUCUGGAAGUUUCUCAAAACACUUCAAAUAUGGUGGUUUCAUUCCUGGGGAAAUACCAAGGGUGUUUCUCACCCCACUGCAGGGAAAUCUGCAAACCUGUGCUCAUUUCUGCUUAGUUCACAAUAGCUGGGAAAUCAACCUAGAUGUCCAUAUACAGAUGAGCAGAUAAAUAUGGCACACAUAUACAAUGUAACUUGCUCAGCCAAAAGGAAAAAUGAAAUUAUCAAAUUCAAAGAUGAAUGAAUGGAACUGGAAAAAUAAAUCAUACUGAGUGAUGUCACUUGGUUCCAGAAAGAGCUUCUCUCCAGUGACUGAUGGAAGCAGACGCAGAGAUCCACAGCCAAACACCAAGCAAAGCUCCAGAAGUCCAGUAGAAGAGAGAAGAGGAGGGAUUCUAUGAGCAAGUGCAUCAGGAUUAUGAUGGGGAAACCUGCAGAGAUGACCAAACCAAGCUAGUGGGAACUCAUUGAAGGUUGGAUCAACGGCUGUGAAGCCUGCAUGGGACUAGACUAGCCCUCUGCAUGGGAGACAAUUGUGUAGUUUGAUCUGCUUGGGGGACCCCCUGGCGGUAAGAUCAGAAUCCAUCCCUAGUGCAUGUGGAGGCUUUUUGGAGCCCACUACCUAUGAUGGGACACCUUGUGCAGCCUUGAGGCAAGGGGAAGGGCUUGGGCUUGCCUCUACUGGAUGUGCCUCCUCAUGGGGGCCUUGCGUUCUUGUUGGGGGGAGUGGGGUGUGGAUUGAGAGGGAGAGG